rnacentral:rRNA from 1 species
UACGAGGGGGGCGAGCGUUGUCCGGAAUUACUGGGCGUAAAGAGCUCGUAGGUGGUUUGUCGCGUUGUUCGUGAAAACCGGGGGCUUAACCCUCGGCGUGCGGGCGAUACGGGCAGACUUGAGUACUGCAGGGGAGACUGGAAUUCCUGGUGUAGCGGUGGAAUGCGCAGAUAUCAGGAGGAACACCGGUGGCGAAGGCGGGUCUCUGGGCAGUAACUGACGCUGAGGAGCGAAAGCGUGGGGAGCGAACAGG